rnacentral:rRNA from 1 species
GACGAACGCUGGCGGCGUGCUUAACACAUGCAAGUCGAACGGAAAGGCCCUGCGUUUGUGGGGUGCUCGAGUGGCGAACGGGUGAGUAACACGUGAGUAACCUGCCCUUGACUUUGGGAUAACUUCAGGAAACUGGGGCUAAUACCGGAUAGGAGCUCCUGCUGCAUGGUGGGGGUUGGAAAGUUUCGGCGGUUGGGGAUGGACUCGCGGCUUAUCAGCUUGUUGGUGGGGUAGUGGCUUACCAAGGCUUUAACGGGUAGCCGGCCUGAGAGGGUGACCGGCCCCAUUGGGACUGAGAUACGGCCCAGACUCCUACGGGAGGCAGCAGUGGGGAAUAUUGCACAAUGGGCGGAAGCCUGAUGCAGCAACGCCGCGUGCGGGAUGACGGCCUUCGGGUUGUAAACCGCUUUCGCCUGUGACGAAGCGUGAGUGACGGUAAUGGGUAAAGAAGCACCGGCUAACUACGUG